UGAUACUGGAAGCUGUUGGAGUUGAAAGUGGACAAGAAUCAGGGGCCAAGAAAACUAAAGCUGACAAUUGGCCCUUAACCCAUCACAUCUUUCAAAGAGGAAAACAUACUCUCCAUGCCCCACCUCAUCCCCAAGAUAAAAACAUCAAAAACCCUAGGAGAGGAUAUGCAAAACUAGGCUGUGUAUGUCUAAUUUGACAAAGGGUUAUUUAAAAAUAAAUUGCUCAAGGCAAAGCACAGAGCAAGAGUUCCUUUGGGCUUUGGCCAACUCUUCAUUACUACAGUCUGCUGGCCCCAGUGAAUAGGGCCAGGACCAAAGAAAAUAGUCUGCAGUCAAAAGUUUUACCUCCAGAAACUUUACCUUGCCCCGCCUUUUGGGGGGUGUGUGGAAGGAGGGGGAUAAUUUCAUUGAGAUGUAAUUCACUCACAUAGCAGUCACCCGUGUAAAUGGUACAAAUCAGCAUCUUAGUAUAUUCACAAAGUUCUGCAACUAUUACCACAAUAAAUUUCAAAGCAUUUUCAUCCCACCAGCAAGAAAACCUGUACCCGUUAGCAGUUACUCCACUGCACCCUUGCCCUAGGCAACCACAAAUCUGUCUCUAUGCAUUUGCCUAUUCUGAAGGUUUCAUAUAAAUAGAUUCAUACAAUGUAUGGUCUUUUGUGGCUGAUUCUUUCACUUAGCAUGUUUUCAAGGUUCAUCCAUUGUAGUAGCUGGAUUGUAGCCAGCUAUGAUCAUUUAUAUUUAUUUAAUUAUUUUUAUAGCCAAGUCAUA
rnacentral:lncRNA from 1 species